GGCGCAGUGAGCAUUGAGCCACGGAAACUCAACUUUGCCAUGUCCCACAGGCAAGCAUGAAUCAGGAUGACAGUCAAUGCCACAAAAUCCAAAGCCAUGUGGGUGCUUCUUUGACUAGAGACAGCAAGGGCAGGAGUGAAGCUCAGGCUUCUGCACCAACCCAGCAUCUGCACCAACCCAGACACCAACUGAUGUCUCCAUCAGUCAUUUCUAAGCACUGCAGCUCUCUGCCCCUCUGUGCCCCUCCAAGGAGGACCACAAGGACCAUAUUCCAUGGAGUCAUAGCUAUAGGAUAAUAGGAAGUUUAUAUGCCAUUGAAGAGGCAGAGAGGAGCUGCAGCAUGUAUUCACAACUCAGAACUUGUCCUGUGAAGGAAGAAAACAAUGCCCCUUAGACCAAAGAAUUAAGAGAUGACCUAUAUUUGAAAAACCACCCACAGCUGCAUGUUGAUGUGCUAGAGUGGCUUGUUGAUGCUGCCUGAAGUUGAGGUUCUGGCUGCACCAGUUAUUUACCCUUUGAUUAAAAAGACACUUUAAUUCUGAUUGAAAAUCACC
rnacentral:lncRNA from 1 species